rnacentral:rRNA from 1 species
GGGCCCGCACAAGCAGUGGAGUAUGUGGUUUAAUUCGAAGCAACGCGAAGAACCUUACCAGGACUUGACAUCCCUCGCAAUCCAAGGAAACUUGGAGUUCCUACGGGACGGGGAGACAGGUGGUGCAUGGUUGUCGUCAGCUCGUGUCGUGAGAUGUUGGGUUAAGUCCCGCAACGAGCGCAACCCCUGUUGUUAGUUGCCAUCAGGUAAAGCUGGGCACUCUAACGAGACUGCCGGUGAUAAAUCGGAGGAAGGUGGGGAUGACGUCAAAUCAUCAUGCCCCUUAUGUUCUGGGCUACACACGUACUACAAUGGCUGUUACAGAGGGGAGCGAAGCCGCAAGGCAGAGCAAAUCCCAAAAAACAGUCUCAGUUCGGAUUGUGGGCUGAAACCCGCCCACAUGAAGUCGGAAUUGCUAGUAAUGGCAGGUCAGCAUACUGCCGUGAAUACGUUCCCGGGCCUU